rnacentral:rRNA from 1 species
GUCUAUAGCCAUACCACCCUGAAUGUGUCCAACCUCCUCUGGUCUUGGAAGCUAAGUAGGUUGGGCCUGGUUAGUACUGGGUCACGCCUAAGGCGGCUGGAGUCU